AUUUACCAAAUGAAAGAGAAAAUACUGAGUUUGGUAAAAUGAAAACAUUGACCAUCCAUUUCUGCUUUGCCUUGUAGUGACACUGGAAACAGCCUGACACUUCUAGUAGAUUGCAAGGAAAACAAACCACCAAAGCCAUGGAGAGAAAAAAACAACAGAAACGGGAAUUCGGGAAAAGACUUUCUCUGGACAGCAGUCUUGUGGAGUAUAUGGACUCAAAUAAAUACAUAGAACACUUAGUAACUCAGCUAGAAGAGCAACGCUGGAACCUA